AUCUAGUGCGCCGUCCAAUCUAAGGCACACCCUAAUUUUUGAGAUGUAAUUUGGCCAAAAAGGGUGGGUGCAUUACAUUCAAGUAAAUACAGUAUCUUAUAUACGUCUCCCUACUCCCAAACAAGCAGGCAGUCAAUUGAACAGGCUUGUACUUUGUUUGUAGGCGAAUGAUAACAGUCAGCUGUGUACUAUCUACAGUUCAAAGUCAGCAGGGGAGAGAGAAAAGGGGAGAAAAACAGCUUCCUUAUCUCUCGCAGCACCGGCCGGCACCUUUGAGAUUUAUGCGCCCAGUGGCUUGCCUUCGCUCCGAAAACGCUACAUCAUCCGAAAGCACGGUAGAGUUCAUUAAAACUUAAUUGCGGUUGGCAUUACAGCUCCAAAACAUAAGUUGUUGAUAAAAUAAUUGUUUUAAAAGAAAUUAAAACCCAUUAAAACUCAAUUAAACUCAGUGAAAAUUGCGUUUCUACAUCGCUUCAGAGCUAGCCGCCAUCUUGACCGAAGUCUGAUCCCAGAGAGUGGAAGGCGUCCCUCACUUGGGGACGGGACAUAGCUCAGUGGCUAAGCAUUUCUGGUGCAUGCAGAAGGUCCCAAGGUAUCAAUGUGUCUAGUAAACAUUGUGUUGAACUUGAAUGCAGCAGUCAUAGGUUACCAUUACCACAAUGGGAACGAGAAUGAGCUUCUAUUGCCGAAGCAUAUAUACAUACAGACUAGACCUCAGCAGUUGAGUGCAAUCAAACUGCUUCCAUACAAACACUUUGGAGUACAAAUCAGAAAUUUUGAAUGCACCUAUCUGAACUUAAGUCAAAUUUAAAAAUGCUUAUAAAAUUCUUUAAAUAAUGAAUUUCAUUUUAUGGAAAUAAAGUUGACAUUAAAAAAACAAAACAAGAGUGAUUUGGGUGCUAUAAAAUUAAUUGUGGUAAUUUUCUUGGCUAAAAGUUGAUAGCAGAAUUGAAAAAAAAGAACCUGUAAUCACAAGAAGAGGGAGGAGGAGGAAAAAGAAGAAAAAAAUAUAAUACCCUUUUUAAUUAAAAUAAAUUCGUAACCAAAACCAAUAAAAAAACCAUUUCCCCCACUUCAUUAUAAAUUGCUAUAACUAUUAUUUUUUCCUUGAUAAAAACAGGAGAUCCACACCACUCUGAAUCAAAAUGGAUAUUGAGCGAUAUUAAAUUAUUUUGUUGAACUUUCUCUAAAUGAUUCACUGCUUCAGAUAUGAUUCAGAGCUUUAAAUAGAUGCAGAGCUGACAUUUCUCAUGCAUCCAACACCCUCCGAAAAAAUAUCACUGUAUGCUACAUAGCAGGAGUUAGCUAUUCGAAGUAUUACAGGCCAUUGGGCGGGUAGACAUCAGAGACUGCUGAUACUGUUAACAACUUGUUUAUUUAUAUCCUUUCAGAAGCCCUGCGGACUAAAUGCCUACAAAUGCCUGCACAUAGCUGGGCUGCAUAACUAGAGAUGCAGAUCACUUCCCCAACCAUUCAUCCUCCACCCACAGUACUUUUUCUAACUAGUUUUGUUUAUCAACGAAUCACCCGCUAGACAGCCAUCUUGGGGGGGGGGGUAAGAAGAUGCUAGGAAGCCAAUCUCAGAGCAAAGUUCCCUAAACUUUUUAUACCUGGGUCACAUUAGGUUUUUGGAUUUCACUGAAACUUACCUAUUUACCUAAUUUUCUGAAUCAGCUACUAGAAGUCUCUCCAGCUGCCAUUGUACGAAAUAACACAAUUAAUACUGCCUCCCAGAACAUCCCAACCCUCUCUCGUUCCCAGCCAGCCUGGGACAGAACUCUUUCCUGAGUACCAGUUUCUCCCCCUACACCUAUCUGUUGUCGCAGUUCAUCCCUAACUUAAAAUAAUGACACGAUUGAUGCCACCGAGCCUCUUGGGCUUGCAGAUCAUAAGGUGAGCGGUUCGAAUCUGCGCGAUGGGCUGGGCUCCCGUUGCUUUGUCCCAGCUUUUGCCAACCUAGCAGUUCGAAAGCACACCAGCGCAAGUAGAUAAAUAGGCAGGAAGGUAAACAGUGUUUCCAUGCGUUCUGGCUUCGGUUUCGGUGUUCCAUAGCUGGCCACAUGACCUGGAAAGCUGUCUGCGGACAGACGCCGGCUCCCUCGGCCUGGAAGCGGAGAUGAGCGCCACACCCCAUAGUCAAAUUCGACUGGACUUAGCCAUCAGGGGCCCUUUAACUUUACUGUGGAUAAAAUGGCAAAGAGAGGAGGUGGGAAAUAAACCCUGCACUGUGCCUCUCUGAGAUCACAAAUACAGAGUGGUGGAUUCAUCCAGCAAAUGGGAAUUACUGAUUCGGAGAAUAAUGAAUGGAAGCUGUCUGCUUGCCCUGCUUUCAGUGCCCUCAUGCGCCCAUUGCCGACUUUGGAAACUUUUCUGAUUGGCUACUACAGACCCCACCCCCCGAGGGUCCCUAUUUUCCAGGGACAGUUCUGGAUUUACAGAAGGUUUCUGAGUUGAAUGUCCUGCUUUUCCUUAAAGGUAAAGGGACCCCUGACCAUUAGAUCCAGUCGUGGCCGACUCUGGGGUUGCGGCGCUCAUCUCGCUUUAUUGGCCGAGGGAGCCGGCGUACAGCUUCUGGGUCAUGUCGCCAGCAUGACUAAGCUGCUUCUGGCGAACCAGAGCAGCGCAUGGAAACGCCAUUUGCCUUCCCGCCGGAGCGGUACCUAUUUAUCUACUUGCACUGUGACGUGCUUUCGAACUGCUAGGUGGGCAGGAGCUGGGACAGAGCAAUGGGAGCUCACCCCGUCACGGGGAUUCAAACCGCCAACCUUCUGAUCGGCAAGUCCUAGGCUCUGGUUUAACCCACAGCGCCACCCUGUCCCUAUUUUCAUCGGAGAAAUGAUGGAGGCAAUGGAGUGAUGCAGUCCCUGAGCCAGACUCUUUCUUCUCAGUACGAAAAAGAGAGAAACCUGCAACCAUUCUGGUAGCUACCAGUAUAUAUUUAUUCCCAUAUACACACAUACAAUGUAUAGACUGCUCUACAGUGAAGGCCUCUAGCUAGCCUACAGGAAUGAAUAACAUCUUCCUCUCCAGUGAUUUUUAAAAUGCCAGACCCUCCAAGUGUCCCUGUUUUCCAGAGACAGUCCCAGAUUUACAAAAGCCGUCCCAGUUUCUGAUUAGAUCCCAGAAUGUUCUAUAAAGCGUUUGUGAAAACAUUGGUCACAAAUGAUUAAGUGAAAUCAUCGUUAAAAGUAUACAACUUCUCCUGCAAGCAUUUCUCUGCAAAUUUGCUAGAGGUCUCAAUUUCCCUAUUAUUGUAAGGAGAGUGUCCUCCCUGCCCCCCCCCCAAAUUGUAGAAACCCUGAAAGAAAACAUAAUGCCGUAUACCAUAUCUUUGGGUUACUCUGAGGAAAUAGGAGGUCUGAGAUGCAGACAAUUGGAGGUCUUACUUUGUAAAGGAAAUCUCGUCAUAGCUCACUGCUCUUGGUUACUUGAUAUUCUCAUCUAUACUUCCGACCAAACAUUAAAUUACAAACCCUAUUGAUUUUCUAUUAUUACAUGUGUGCGCACGUGCUGUUUUUUCUAUCCUACAAAACUUUCUUUCUUUUUUUAAUGAUAUUUAUUAGAGUUUCCAAUAAAAAGAACACAUCAGUAAAAAAUUAAAAAUAAAAAAAGACAAAUACACAGUUCAAUUAUCCUACAAAACUUUCAGCUACAAAUACCCAGAAUGAUAUAAAGGAAUCAUUUAUUGCAUCACAUUUAGGACACCCUUUGAUAUAAUUAGACAUUGCAGCUGUUUGCACGGCAUCCAUUUGAAGCACAUUUAAAAUACCUGGCUUUGCCCAAAGAAUACUGGAAACUGUCAUUUAACCAUCACAGAGCUACAAUUCCCAGCACCCUGACAAACUACACUUCCUAGGAUUAUCUGGGGGAAGUCAUGUCCUUGAAAUGUAUUUGAAAUGUGUGAUAUACAUAGCCUAAGAUAUUUCUGGUUUUCCAACCAUGUUGAAUAUCAAUAUUAUUGUUUUCUUUCAAUCUUGCCCAUUCAAAUAUUUCCAUAUGUAAACUUUAAAAAUAAGAGUACUAAUAGGAAAUGUAGUAGUAUUAAGAUAUCCUUUGAAGUAAUAGUUCUCCACAUUCUUACUUUAUCUCCACAGAGUGACCUAUCUUUAGCAGCCAUAAAAAUAUUCCUUUCUACGCUUGAUACGGC
rnacentral:lncRNA from 1 species